GCGUUACAGCUAGAAUGGGAAACUGAGACAAGGAAAGGGAAAGGACUCAGCCCAGAUUCCCAAAGCAGAUACCCUGAUUCUUCCUGCAGUACGCUUCCCUGUCCUCUUCCUUUCCCUAGGGCAGAUAAACACCCAGAGACUUUGCAUCUUUGCCUUUCAAAGCUGGGACGCUAGGCUGGACAGCUCUGACCAAUCUGCCCCCUUCUUCUCCCUCCACCCAUUUCAAAGCAUUUCCAGCUAGAAACGACCUUAAAUGUCCCCUGCUUAUUAUCGACUCCAACGCCUUCGUUUUCAAAAGAGGUUCCUUUGGCUUCCCAUCAUGUCCAUGAGCCCCCAGAGCCUGGGUUUUCUUCUUUCCAGUUGUUGAACCACUUCACUUCAUGUCACACAAAAAGAACAAAUUUCCCUCCAACGAGAUGUGGCAUCUCCCCACCUUGGUUUCUCACCCACCCUGUACUUUACCGGACCAGCCAUCCCAUCCAGUCAGUCCACUUCUCCAUCAUUUGGCUUUGCUCACUGCAGACAUGGGAGCGCCCCCUGAUGGCAGGAUUGGCUACCUGUCCACACCCUUUCCAACAAGUCCAGAUUCACCAGGAAUGGGCAAGAAUCAGAAAUGACGACCAGCCUCUGCACCUACCCCACCCCCCAGAGGACAAGAUUCCAUGGGCAGCAAGAGUUCUCAGGCACAGCACAUUCUCAGACAGCUUUUCUUCUAGAAAGAAGUUGCCUUUGCUACUACUCCAAGCUCCCUCUUUCAUUCACUGCCUUGAACACAAAUGCACAUUGGUUCAGGACUAGAACUGGACCUUGGCAGAUGACUUGGGACAAGGUGGGCUGAGGGGAGAAACAGGAAAUAAUUGGACAAGUUACCGGGCCAUCGAAGCUGUGGCAAUGGCGAAGGGCAAACUUCACAAGCACAAAAUGGGCAUGGGGCCCAGCAGGGAGGCCUGGCUAGGCAGCAGUUUUUGUCUGAAAACCACGUGGGGGUUUGAGAGGGCAUCAAGCGUCACAAAGCAGAACAGUGGGGCGUGGCAGCCAAACCCCAGACUGGAUGUCAGCCCGCUGGAAGAGGCAGUCAAAGACCAAAGCGAGAGGAGACCCCCGAGGGCGCCGAAUCCAAGCCCUCAUUACAGGAAACUGAAGCAAGGACGGCCUAAGUGACUGGUCCAGAGCCAGCAUCUGAGGGGCUACCUGUCCAUCCUGGGCAAUCCUCAGUGACCACAGAUGUCACCCUGCAAGGCAAUGGAUGGAUGCCAUGUGAGUCUGGGAUUCCGGUGAUGGGGCAAGUGAAGAAGGGCCAGGGACAAGAGUACCCAUGGGAAGGGACCCUGGACUUUCUUCAUGUGGCACCCAGGCCCCAGAUGCUUGGCUUGGUUGGACUCCAGGAACAUCCUGCCUCCCCCAGGAUAAGCUCAUCACUUGAAAUUUCAUCAUGGCUCAGGCAGAUUGACUCAGCUUUCAUGCUUGCUACCUCCUCCGCGCCCUCAGGUGCCUCUCCUCUCCCAUUGGAGGGCUGGGGGGGGGAGAGGCGGGGAGCAAUGAACACCUCCCGCAGUCGCCCCUCAGAGAGGGCUCAGGAUUGGCCAGCUUGCUUCAUCCCCUCGGCUGCUCCCCUCGCUGGGGUUCUCAGCUUUUCUGUAGGUCUUCUCUCAUUAGAUUGAGAGCUACUUGACAGCGUGGCACACUGGAGGCACUUAAUAACGUUUAUUGACUAUUUGAUCCUCACAACAGCCCUGGGCGGUAGGUGCUAUUGUCGUCCCCAUUUUAUAGGUGUGGAAACUGAGGUUGCCGGAGGUUAAAUGACUUGUCCAGGGCUACACUAGUCAGUGCCGGGAAGCAGUACGUCCUCUUGACUCCAGGUCUAGCACUCGGCGCACUGCUGACACUCAGGGUCAGGUCUUCUCUUCCCGAUUACAUCCUAAAGAAAAACAAUUCCCACCUCGACACAUACAAACCCAUGCUUCCAGACUGGCCCCUGCAGCCACCAUCUCCCCAUCGUGAUGGAGGAGAGCCACACACUCACCACCACCACCUGGCAACACCCGGCACAAAUCCCUGUUGGCCACCUCCCGCCGAGAAGCUCAGCCCCCGCAGCCAGCCUCAGGGAAGUAAAGCCUGGGCACCCACUGUGCCAGCCACACAAGCAGCAUAGCAGCAACGCUCUGCAGACCAGUGGGUUGUUUCCAGCCAAGUGCUUACAUUAAAAGGAAAAACUCCUUGGAUGAUGGGUUGGACAUCCCCACCAACCGCCAACCAGCAACACCAAUGGGCCAAUAAGCCCAAGAGGAGCAGGAAUGGCGCUGUCCCCCUCUCCCCCGGACACCCCGGCCUGCAUCCCCACCAACUGCUGACUGGCUGCCACCAACUGACAGACAAGCACAAGUGUCUUCCACAAGACCAGCAUCAACGGAGCAGCGCUUUGGGGGGAGGAGGACACUAUCCUUACCAUCGCCAACACCAACUGCCAAUAUGGUCAUUGUUCCCAGAUCAACUUUCUUGCUCUCAGGACCGGCAGCCCCGCCCAUUGGUGAAUGGCCAUACCAUCCCCCCAGCCAUCAGCAGCCAUGGGCAGGGAAGCUCUAGUGGCCCAGGACUGGCAGUGCCUCCAUCCAGCCAUCACUGAGGAGAAAAGCUUCUGGCAGCAGAGAGCCCCAGGAGUGACAGUGUCUUCUACACCACCAAUGUGGCUUCCUGCCUGGUCCCCAAGCCAUGACUGAGUGGAGCAAUGCUUUGUAGAAGGGGCUAGGCAUCUCUCUCCCACAACAACUGACUAAUUAAGCUCAAGAGCCCCACCGUAACACACAGGUCAGCCCUUACAUCAUUAGAGAAGGCGUCUGCACCCCUGCCACCAGAUGCCAUUGAUGGACAGCUAAACCCAAGAUCCCCAGGACUGACAUUGCCCCGCCCCAGCCCUGCCCCUCUGACCAUCCUUGCCACCAACACCAACCACAAAUAAGCACCAGCUGCCAAUCAUCUGGUACUGCUAGGUGGGUAAGCCCAAGCCAAAGCAGGAGGCAUGGGUGGGGGGGUGACAGUGGAGAAAGCACUGGAU